rnacentral:tRNA from 1 species
GAUGAAGUUCAGUGGUAGAGCACUUGCCUAGCAUGUGUGAGGCCCUGGGUUCAAUUCCCAGUGUC